rnacentral:rRNA from 1 species
GAUGAACGCUGGCGGCGUGCCUAAUACAUGCAAGUCGAGCGAACAGACGAGGAGCUUGCUCCUCUGACGUUAGCGGCGGACGGGUGAGUAACACGUGGAUAACCUACCUAUAAGACUGGGAUAACUUCGGGAAACCGGAGCUAAUACCGGAUAAUAUAUUGAACCGCAUGGUUCAAUAGUGAAAGACGGCUUUGCUGUCACUUAUAGAUGGAUCCGCGCCGCAUUAGCUAGUUGGUAAGGUAACGGCUUACCAAGGCAACGAUGCGUAGCCGACCUGAGAGGGUGAUAGGCCACACUGGAACUGAGACACGGUCCAGACUCCUACGGGAGGCAGCAGUAGGGAAUCUUCCGCAAUGGGCGAAAGCCUGACGGAGCAACGCCGCGUGAGUGAUGAAGGUCUUUGGAUCGUAAAACUCUGUUAUUAGGGAAGAACAAAUGUGUAAGUAACUAUGCACGUCUUGACGGUACCUAAUCAGAAAGCCACGGCUAACUACGUG